CAUUCACACAAAAACAAUUGUGUUGUGGGAGAUUAUCGGUUUGAGUAGAAGGUAUCACAAGUUUAGUUUAUUUGUACAUUGUGUGCCAUUGAUCAAAUCCACCAUAUAAUAUAUGAUCAUUCAUUGUAGCUGUUAAGUUAUUUUCCAUACUAAUGAAUUUAGGUAAGAUUGUCGACGUCUUGCAAGUUGGUUGUUCUGACAAAACUAUCCAGCCAAUAUCCAGUACAUUUAUUCUUCAUUCUUGUAUUAAUCUCUA